rnacentral:rRNA from 1 species
UACGUAGGGACCAAGCGUUGUCCGGAAUUAUUGGGCGUAAAGAGCUCGUAGGCGGUCUGUCGCGUCUGCUGUGAAAACUCGGGGCUUAACCCCGGGCCUGCAGUGGGUACGGGCAGACUAGAGUGCGGUAGGGGAGACUGGAAUUCCUGGUGUAGCGGUGAAAUGCGCAGAUAUCUGGAGGAAUACCGGUGGCGAAGGCGGCAUCCUGGACCGGCAUUGGACGCUGAUGAGCGAAAAGCUAGGGGAGCAAACGGGG